AUUGAACGCUAGCGGGAUGCUUUACACAUGCAAGUCGAACGGCAGCGCGGACUUCGGUCUGGCGGCGAGUGGCGAACGGGUGAGUAAUGUAUCGGAACGUGCCCAGUAGCGGGGGAUAACUACUCGAAAGCGUAACUAAUACCGCAUACGCCCUAAGGGGGAAAGCAGGGAAACGUAAGCCCUUGCCCUAUGGGAGCGGCCGAUAUCGGAUUGGCGAGUUGGUGAGGUAACGGCUCACCAAGGCGACGAUCCGUAACUGGUUUGAGAGGAUGGCCAGCCACACUGGGACUGAGACACGGCCCAGACUCCUACGGGAGGCAGCAGUGGGGAAUUUUGGACAAUGGGGGCAACCCUGAUCCAGCCAUCCCGCGUGUGCGAUGAAGGCCUUCGGGUUGUAGAGCACAUUUGGCAGGAAAGAAACGUCGCGGGCUAAUACCCCGUGGAACUGACGGUACCUGCAGAAUAAGCACCGGCUAACUACGUG
rnacentral:rRNA from 1 species